ACGCUGACAGAAUGCUUAACACAUGCAAGUCUACUUGAACUUCGGUUUGGGUGGCGGACGGGUGAGUAACGCGUAAAGAACUUGCCUCACAGUUAGGGACAACAUUUGGAAACGAAUGCUAAUACCUGAUAUUAUGAUUUUAGGGCAUCCUAAGAUUAUGAAAGCUAUAUGUGCUGUGAGAGAGCUUUGCGUCCCAUUAGCUAGUUGGAGAGGUAACGGCUCACCAAGGCGAUGAUGGGUAGCCGGCCUGAGAGGGUGAACGGCCACAAGGGGACUGAGACACGGCCCUUACUCCUACGGGAGGCAGCAGUGGGGAAUAUUGGACAAUGGACCAAAAGUCUGAUCCAGCAAUUCUGUGUGCACGAUGACGUUUUUCGGAAUGUAAAGUGCUUUCAGUUGGGAAGAAAAAAAUGACGGUACCAACAGAAGAAGUGACGGCUAAAUACGUGCCAGCAGCCGCGGUAAUACGUAUGUCACAAGCGUUAUCCGGAUUUAUUGGGCGUAAAGCGCGUCUAGGUGGUUAUGUAAGUCUGAUGUGAAAAUGCAGGGCUCAACUCUGUAUUGCGUUGGAAACUGCAUGACUAGAGUACUGGAGAGGUAAGCGGAACUACAAGUGUAGAGGUGAAAUUCGUAGAUAUUUGUAGGAAUGCCGAUGGGGAAGCCAGCUUACUGGACAGAUACUGACGCUAAAGCGCGAAAGCGUGGGUAGCAAACAGGAUUAGAUACCCUGGUAGUCCACGCCGUAAACGAUGAUUACUAGGUGUUGGGGGUCGAACCUCAGCGCCCAAGCUAACGCGAUAAGUAAUCCGCCUGGGGAGUACGUACGCAAGUAUGAAACUCAAAGGAAUUGACGGGGACCCGCACAAGCGGUGGAGCAUGUGGUUUAAUUCGACGCAACGCGAGGAAC
rnacentral:rRNA from 1 species